UGCAUGAAGUCGGAAUUGCUAGUAAUCGCAGAUCAGCAUGCUGCGGUGAAUACGUUCCCGGGCCUUGUACACACCGCCCGUCACACCAUGGGAGUCGGUAACACCCGAAGUCAGGAGCCUGACCUUUUUAGGAGGGCACUGCCGAAGGUGGGAUUGAUGACUGGGGUGAAGUCGUAACAAGGUAGC
rnacentral:rRNA from 1 species